ACAAAAUAACAGAAUAAAACCUGUCUUAUUAUACAGUAUCCUUUGCAGCAGUGGAAACGUACUGUUAUGGCAGACAGGAUGGACCUCAGUGCUAUGGAGUUCUUGGAGGUACUGUGUUGAUCAAGCUGAUGGACAACUCCUCAGAAAUACCCAUAUUCAACUUGAAAAAGGAUCACAAGGGUUGGUGUCCGAAAGAAUAACAUCCUACCUAAUGCCAUGAAUAGCAGUUCUGUUUUAAUCUUGAGUAAUGGAGCAAUCAGAAUCAGCAACCUGAGCUGAACCAACAGUGGUGAAUAUACUCUGGAGGUCUUUGAUUCCGAGGGACGCAAUAAAGGACAGAGGACUCUUCAGUUGUUUGUUCAAGUGGAAGUAGAUGAUCAGGAACUGUCCUACACUGAUGUCAGUGUUGUGCAACAGAGGAGGCGAAGUGGAGCAAAGUGCAGAGGCAGAAGUGGAGUACAAUAGAGUAAAGAUGUCAGAACUGCCAGCCACCGGAUCCGGCAGCAGAUGAUGUUGUGUAUGCACAAAUUUGUAAAGAGAAUUGAUUUUAUGGAUUUCAUGGAAGAUGGAUUCAUGAAGGCUGCCUAGUCCAGGCACUACAGAUGUCAGAUAUUGGGACACAUGGUAUCAAAAUAUCCAACCCAAAGUGUACAGUCAUGGCGUCAAGAUGUUGGCCAAUGCUUUUGUUUGUUCAUGUAUUUUCAUCUUGAGAAUAACACCAGAUGUCAGUCAUUUUCUACCACUUAUUCCAUAGUGGGUCACGGGGGAGCUGGUGCCUAUCUUCAGCAGUCUAUGGGCGAGAGGCGGGGUACACCCUGGACAGGUCGCCAGUCCAUCGCAGGGC